rnacentral:rRNA from 1 species
UUGGUACUACAUGUACAGGAUAGGUGGGAGGCUUUGAAACCAGGACGCCAGUUUUGGCGGAGCCAUCCUUGGGAUACCACCCUUGUAGUACUGGGACUCUAACCAUAGGCCAUGAAUCUGGUCUUGGGACACUGUCAGGUGGGCAGUUUGACUGGGGCGGUCGCCUCCCAAAAGGUAACGGAGGCGCUCAAAGGUUCUCUCAGUACGGUCGGAAAUCGUACGUAGAGUGUAAAGGCAAAAGAGAGCUUGAUUGCAAGACAUACAGGUCGAGCAAGGAUGAAAAUCGGACUUAGUGAUCCGGUGGUUCUGCGUGGAAGGGCCAUCGCUCAACGGAUAAAAGCUACCCUGGGGAUAACAGGCUUAUCUCCCCCAAGAGUCCACAUCGACGGGGAGGUUUGGCACCUCGAUGUCGGCUCAUCACAUCCUGGGGCUGUAGUAGGUCCCAAGGGUUGGGCUGUUCGCCCAUUAAAGUGGUACGCGAGCUGGGUUCAGAACGUCGUGAGACAGUUCGGUCCCUAUCCGUCGCAGGCGUAGGAAAUUUGAGAAGACCUGUCCUUAGUACGAGAGGACCGGGAUGGACGUACCUCUGGUGUACCAGUUGUUCUGCCAAGGGCAUGGCUGGGUAGCUAUGUACGGAAUGGAUAAGCGCUGAAAGCAUCUAAGCGCGAAGCCAACUUCAAGAUAAGAUUUCCCACCG